CGCCAAUCAAGAACAAGCACUGAAAGUAAAUAUAAGUAUGUUAUUAGCUGAGUUUACGUAGCCGAAAAAUGAGUGUAAGCCCCACAGUAAAGUACCGCAAUGCCACAAGCGCCACAUGGCCAACAAAUAGCACGCACUCAGUCCGAAAGUUGGUCGCAACUAUAGUCUACUUUUAUGCGCUGAUGUAAUAGCUCCGGCUGACACACCCACCGGUAAGAUGGACAGGCAAACGAACGCAGCGGAGCGGAGGGACGAAGCACGCAGUAGUAACUCCUUUUACCCUCCCUUCCUACGCUGCCCAAAACAUUCUCUGAAGCUAACGAUUAAUCACUGUUACAGUUGCGUUUUUUACGCAGUUCACAGCAGUUCAGAAAACCAGUGACAAUGACGAAAACACUUAAUGAUGAAGCAUGAGGGAACUGGAGUGGGAAUGGGAAUGGGAUCGCACCAGGAAGUCGCAAAGUACCAGCAACAGAAACACACUUGACAAAUAUUUGCAUACUCUAUCGUCACGAAGUAUUGCUGCUAUUGUGUCUGACUUGACUUGGGGAAAGUUAACAUCAAGCAACCAAAAUG